rnacentral:rRNA from 1 species
GACAGAGGCCCCAAGCGUUAGGCGGAAUCACUGGGCUUAAAGCGUGUGUAGGCGGACGCCUAAGUGUCUUGUGAAAUCCCACGGCUCACCCGUGGAACUGCUGGGCAUACUGGGCGUCUUGGGCCAACUAGGGGCAGCCGGAACAAGCGGUGGAGCGGUGAAAUGCGUAGAUAUCAUUUGGAACGCCAAUGGUGAAACAGCUCGCUGGGGUUUGCUGACGCUGAGACACGAAAGCCAGGGAGCAAAGCGGG